GGCCAGGUAGCUCAGUUGGUAGAGCAGGGGAUUGAAAAUCCCCGUGUCGGCGGUUCGAUUCCGUCCCUGGCCACCA
rnacentral:tRNA from 15 species